ensembl:lncRNA
ACUAAGCCCAGUUAAGCAGACAAGUCCUGGGAAACCAAGAAAAAAAACGGCAGUUUUAAAUCAAAACUGCUGAGAAUGUUUCCUCAGCCAAACCUUAUAGAUAGUAAGCCUUGAUCAUCUGAACAAGCAACUUUAAGGUCUUCCAACUGUUAACUAGUUUAAUAAAUAAGACCUUACUAAUCUCUUGCAAGAAAAUAACUGGACAUGAAGAAACUUCCAGGGCGCUGCGUCUGGACAUCUGUUCCCACCCGCCCUUGGACCACCUCGAGAACCAGCGCUUCAUCCAGGAUACUGGGCACCUCCUGUGCCAGGCUCGGGGCCGUGAAGAUGUUUGGUUUUCCCUGAGAUGUUUUCUCCUGAGGCUUUAGAGAGAGCCUUUGCACUCACAGGAACAAAGCAACCGCAUUAGGAGAAAAGGUGCCUGUUAACCUCCUGCCCCGAGACCAGCGUGGGCUGUGGUGCAGCAGGACUGGGGUUCUCAUCACUUUUCCCGUUUUGUGCCUAAAUCACCCCCUCUUCCUCUAUUUCCUUUUCUUCCCUGAUGUGUAGAAUGACUAAGACAUUUGAAACAUAAAUGUGAACUUGAAAUAAUAAAAUAGUUUGAGUUAAAACAAGAAUUAAAUCUUAAAUAUGUAACCCAAAGCUACGGAUGUCCUUGCUAAUCCAACAUGGGGUUCGCUUCUCCUGUUAGAUCAGACAACUGCCGGUUACAGAAUAUAAAUCUCAUUUCCUGCUUCCAGGGUGAUGGUAACUUUGUGACAGCUUGUCUCAGACUGUUUACAUGUUGAAGUAUAACACUGUUUUACCAAUCCCUGUUU